rnacentral:rRNA from 1 species
AUUGAACGCUGGCGGCAGGCCUAACCCAUGCAAGUCGAACGAGUGGCGGACGGGUGCGUAAUGUCUGGGAAACUGCCUGAUGGAGGGGGGUAACUACUGGAAACGGUCGCUAAUACCGAAUAACAUCAGCUUUGCCCAUAUGGGAUUAGCUUUUGGGUGGGGUAACGGCUCACCAAGGCGACGAUCCCUAGCUGGUCUGAGAGGAUGACCAGCCACGCUGGAACUGAGACACGGUCCAGACUCCUUCGGGAGGCAGCAGUGGGGAAUAUUGCACAAUGGGCGCAAGCCUGAUGCAGCCAUGCCGCGGGUAUGAAGAAGGCCUUCUGGUUGUAAAGUACUUUCAGCGGUGAGGCGUUACCCGCAGAAGAAGCACCGGCUAACUCCGUGCCAGCCGCCGCGGUAAUUC